rnacentral:rRNA from 1 species
UACGUAGGGUGCGAGCGUUAAUCGGAAUUACUGGGCGUAAAGCGUGCGCAGGCGGUUUCUUAAGUCCGUUGUGAAAGCCCCGGGCUUAACCUGGGAAUGGCAGUGGAAACUAGGAGACUUGAAUCUGGCAGAGGGGGGUGGAAUGCCACGUGUAGCAGUGAAAUGCGUAGAGAUGUGGCGGAACACCGAUGGCGAAGGCAGCCCCCUGGGUCAAGAUUGACGCUCAGGCACGAAAGCGUGGGGAGCAAACAGG